AUAAGAAUUUCAAAACACACGGUUUUAUUUACUAAGUCAGCCCAAAUUCUAGGUCAAAAUGCAAUUCAAGUUGAGGUCAUUAAGUCUCCGUUAGGGAGUUGUAAGACUUAUUUAUACUGGAGUGCUCAGUGAAAUCUGGACCGUACACAAGCUAAGGGUUCGGAUCUCCAAAAUAUUGUUAAUACUAGUAGUUUCUAAGGAUUGGUCGAAAAGACCUACUCACUGAUUCAAAAUCAUCUUAUCUGCAGGAUUCCGAGAGUUGUGGAUGUUUACUUUAGUACCUCACGGGCUUUAUCUGUAAUAUUCCAGUUUACUCGAAUUUUUACAACGACGGCUUUCACACUAUUGUCUUUUUCAAGGUCAAUACAGCAUUUUUUUUCUUAAUUUUUUUUUUCAUUGAAGAUAAGAAUUUUUUUCAAGAAAGAUAUAUAAAUUGUGCACUUUUACUCUUGUGGUGAUUUCUCCGUGUAACGAGCAAUCAGUCGACAACUCUCACACCAGUUGGCAUAAGGUGUCGGGCAUCAAGACUCCCCUACGGACUU
rnacentral:lncRNA from 1 species